UACGGGAGGCAGCAGUGGGGAAUAUUGCACAAUGGGCGAAAGCCUGAUGCAGCUAUGCCGCGUGUAUGAAGAAGGCCUUAGGGUUGUAAAGUACUUUCAUCGGGGAGGAAAAAACAAAACUAAUAAUUUUAUUUCUUGACGUUACCCGAAAAAGAAGCACCGGCUAACUCCGUGCCAGCAGCCGCGGUAAUACGGAGGGUGCUAGCGUUAAUCAGAAUUACUGGGCGUAAAGAGCACGUAGGUGGUUUUUUUAAGUCAGAUGUGAAAUCCCUGGGCUUAACCUGGAACUGCAUUUUGAAACUGAAAUACUAGAGUAUCGUAGAGGGAGGUAGAAUUCUAGGUGUAGCGGUGAAAUGCGUAGAUAUCUGGAGGAAUACCUGUGGCGAAAGCGGCCUCCUAAACGAAUACUGACACUGAGGGUGCGAAAGCGUGGGGAGCGAAACAGGGAUUAGAUACC
rnacentral:rRNA from 1 species